rnacentral:tRNA from 1 species
GCCUCAAUAGCUCAGUGGUAGAGCGUUGCACUUGUAAUGCAAAGGUCGGUUGUUCAAUCCAGCCUUGAGGCA